rnacentral:misc_RNA from 1 species
AACGGUCUAUACCUGCGGUACCUGCGGAAGGAUCAUUACCGAGUUAUCAACUCCCAAACCCCUGUGAACAUACCCGAACGUUGCCUCGGCGGGACCGCCCCGGCGCCCCUAGCGGCCCGGAACCAGGCGCCCGCCGGAGGACCCAAACUCUUGCUUUAAACAGUGGCAUGCUCUCUGAGUCUCACAAACAAAAAAUAAAUCAAAACUUUUAACAAUGGAUCUCUAGAUCGGAAGAGCACA